rnacentral:rRNA from 1 species
GACGAACGCUGGCGGCGUGCUUAACACAUGCAAGUCGAACGGAAAGGCCCUGCUUUUGUGGGGUGCUCGAGUGGCGAACGUGUGUGUAACACGUGAGUAACCUGCCCUUGACUUUGGGAUAACUUCAGGAAACUGGGGCUAAUACCGGAUAGGAGCUCCUGCUGCAUGGUGGUGGUUGGAAAGUUUCGGCGGUUGGGGAUGGACUCGCGGCUUAUCAGCUUGUUGGUGGGGUAGUGGCUUACCAAGGCUUUGACGGGUAGCCGGCCUGAGAGGGUGACCGGCGAAAUGGGGACUGAGAUACGGCCCAGACUCCUACGGGAGGCAGCAGUGGGGAAUAUUGCAGAAUGGGCGGAAGCGUGAUGCAGCAACGCAGCGAGCGGGAUGACGGCCGUCGGGUUGUAAACCGCUUUCGACUGUGAAGAAGAGUGAGUGACGGUAAUGGGUAAAGAAGCACCGGCUAACUACGUG